rnacentral:rRNA from 1 species
UGGGGAAUUUUGGACAAUGGGCGAAAGCCUGAUCCAGCAAUGCCGCGUGUGUGAAGAAGGCCUUCGGGUUGUAAAGCACUUUUGUCCGGAAAGAAAUCCUUGGCUCUAAUACAGUCGGGGGAUGACGGUACCGGAAGAAUAAGCACCGGCUAACUACGUGCCAGCAGCCGCGGUAAUACGUAGGGUGCAAGCGUUAAUCGGAAUUACUGGGCGUAAAGCGUGCGCAGGCGGUUUGCUAAGACCGAUGUGAAAUCCCCGGGCUCAACCUGGGAACUGCAUUGGUGACUGGCAGGCUAGAGUAUGGCAGAGGGGGGUAGAAUUCCACGUGUAGCAGUGAAAUACGUAGAGAUGUGGAGGAAUACCGAUGGCGAAGGCAGCCCCCUGGGCCAAUACUGACGCUCAUGCACGAAAGCGUGGGGAGCAAAACAGGAUUAGAUACCCCUGGUAGUCCACGCCCUAAACGAUGUCAACUAGUUGUUGGGGAUUCAUUUCCUUAGUAACGUAGCUAACGCGUGAAGUUGACCGCCUGGGGAGUACGGUCGCAAGAUUAAAACUC